rnacentral:lncRNA from 1 species
AUGUUGAGAGGAAAGGAAUCCUACAGAGAACUUGCUGGUGACGGGGAGAUGGAGGAGGUCUCAGGAAGAACCCUCGGAGAGCUUGACCCUCUGGACUGCCCUGAGUGCUGCAGGCUGACACCUGGCCGGGAGAUAAUCCCUAGGAGGUGACACU